AUGUGCAAUUCAGGCUGGUUUGCGACGGGUUAUUUCAACCCAUAUUUUGUUGUUCUGGGUACCGUUGGUUUUGCCUCAUUAAACUGCUCCGGUUAUUACCCAGUUCUGCUCUCCUGCGCCAGACUUCCCUGCAGCCAGUUACGCACCUCUUACAGAAUUCCACACCCUGAAUAUGGAGUCAGCAAGAGCAGGUGCUCCUGGUAUAGGGGUCGAAGAGCGCGUCCGGGAGCACGCGGCGAUGCUCCACCAUCUCGGCGCCGCCAUGGACCGCGUUGUCCAAACCGUGGACCGCUGGGAGAGACAGGGAGUUGCUUCAGUGCCUCCACCAGCACAACCAGGGUCUCCACUACUCGUCCCCCCCUGCACCCAGUCCCAGUGGGAUUCGUCUCGCCCUUCCCCGGGAGUAUGAUGGGACGGCUGCACGCUGCCAGGGGUUCCUGUUGCAGCUGGAUCUCUACCUGGCAACCAUCCACCCGGCUCCUUCGGGCCGUAAGAGGGUGUCCGCCCUCGUCUCGUGCCUCUCGGGGAAAGCCCGGAGUGGGCCAACGCCGUGUGGGGAGAAGGAGAUGCGGCGCUGGACCAUUUCGAGGAUUUCACCCUGCCCGGAAGCAGACAGUCUUUGACCACCCGCCCGAGGGUAGAGCGGCGGGUGAACGUCUCUUCCAUCUGAGGCAGGGGACGAGGAGCGCCCAGGAGUUCGCAAUAGACUUUCGGACCCUGGCCGCCGGUGUGGGAUGGCACAACAGGGCCCUGAUCGACCACUAUCGUUGCAGUUUGCGCGAGGACGUCCGUCGGGAGUUGGCCUGCAGGGACACCACCCUCACCUUGACCAGCUGGUGGACCUGUCUAUUCGGCUGGAUAACCUGCUGGCUACCCGCGGACGUCCAGAGCGGGGUCUGUCGGUUCCAUCCCCCAGCACCACCGCUCCGAUGCCCAUGGAGCUGGGAGGUGCUGCGCUCAGGGAGACCGGAAGAGGUUCCGUCACGUGCACCAUCUGUGGCCGCAGAGGUCACACUGCCGGUCGGUGCCGGGUUGGUCCUCUGA
rnacentral:lncRNA from 8 species